CCACUCAUUGACAAAUACUCCGGCAAGAUGAAAGGAUGGAAACCUAGGAUGUUGGCUGCAGCGGGACGCUUGACCCUCACGAGUUCGGUUCUCUUGGCCCUUCCCAUCCAUUUUAUGUCAGUACUCCCUUUGCCUAUUUGGGCAAUCAAGAUUAUCGAGAGAAGGUGCAGAGGUUUUGUUUGGAAAGGGGAGAAAGACAUAAACGGCGGUCACUGCCUACUCCCCUGG
rnacentral:rRNA from 1 species